rnacentral:ncRNA from 1 species
GUGUGCCAAGAAAAGCGUUUAGAAGACAGUUGGUCAACCUAGGCAAAGUCUAGCCAGCAGCCUAGAACAGACCAUUAUGCUGCGUAAGGUAACGAGCGUAGUAAAGCUAAUGGAAUGGACAAUGCAGGGUACAACGAAAGUGAAGGUAUUGAGUUCCGAAAUCUUCAAUAUCAUAGAGGUCGACAUUUUUCAUAUGAUGGAAGACAGCAUGAAGGGUAACGAUAAGGCAAUAUA